rnacentral:misc_RNA from 1 species
AAUCAACCCUCUCGACUACGGACAAGCCGGCGACAACAUGGGGUAGAUCAAACAGUGUGCACUUUAGAUGUGGGAAGGCUGCCACAAUUGCUCGAACCACUGUUCCGUUGCCACCGCCAACGUCAACCAAAGUUCCAACCCCGUCGAACACCCAAUCACACUCGCUAACAAUCCGACCAGUCACUAGAUCGGAAUCCUGCAUCAUGGCAUUAUUAAACAGGUCGUUGAACUCAGGAUUCCUCGCCCCAUAUUCCCACAAACUCAU